CCCUUUGGGUGUGACUGCGUACCUUUUGUAUAAUGGGUCAGCGACUUAUAUUCUGUAGCAAGGUUAACCGAAUAGGGGAGCCGGAGGGAAACCGAGUCUUAAUUGGGCGUUAAGUUGCAGGGUAUAGACCCGAAACCCGGUGAUCUAGCCAUGGGCAGGUUGAAGGGUGGGUAACACUAACUGGAGGACCGAACCGACUAAUGUUGAAAAAUUAGCGGAUGACCUGUGGCUGGGGGUGAAAGGCCAAUCAAACCGGGAGAUAGCUGGUUCUCCCCGAAAGCUAUUUAGGUAGCGCCUCGUGAAUUCAUCUCCGGGGGUAGAGCACUGUUUCGGCUAGGGGGCCAUCCCGGCUUACCAACCCGAUGCAAACUGCGAAUACCGGAGAAUGUUAUCACGGGAGACACACGGCGGGUGCUAACGUCCGUCGUGAAGAGGGAAACAACCCAGACCGCCAGCUAAGGUCCCAAAGUCAUGGUUAAGUGGGAAACGAUGUGGGAAGGCCCAGACAGCCAGGAUGUUGGCUUAGAAGCAGCCAUCAUUUAAAGAAAGCGUAAUAGCUCACUGGUCGAGUCGGCCUGCGCGGAAGAUGUAACGGGGCUAAACCAUGCACCGAAGCUGCGGCAGCGACACUGUGUGUUGUUGGGUAGGGGAGCGUUCUGUAAGCCUGUGAAGGUGUGUCGUGAGGCAUGCUGGAGGUAUCAGAAGUGCGAAUGCUGACAUAAGUAACGAUAAAGCGGGUGAAAAGCCCGCUCGCCGGAAGACCAAGGGUUCCUGUCCAACGUUAAUCGGGGCAGGGUGAGUCGACCCCUAAGGCGAGGCCGAAAGGCGUAGUCGAUGGGAAACGGGUUAAUAUUCCCGUACUUGGUGUUACUGCGAAGGGGGGACGGAGAAGGCUAUGUUGGCCGGGCGACGGUUGUCCCGGUUUAAGCGUGUAGGUGUGUGUUCCAGGUAAAUCCGGUUCACUUUAACACUGAGGCGUGACGACGAGGCACUACGGUGCUGAAGCAACAAAUGCCCUGCUUCCAGGAAAAGCCUCUAAGCAUCAGGUAACAUCAAAUCGUACCCCAAACCGACACAGGUGGUCAGGUAGAGAAUACCAAGGCGCUUGAGAGAACUCGGGUGAAGGAACUAGGCAAAAUGGUGCCGUAACUUCGGGAGAAGGCACGCUGACACGUAGGUGAAGUGAUUUACUCAUGGAGCUGAAGUCAGUCGAAGAUACCAGCUGGCUGCAACUGUUUAUUAAAAACACAGCACUGUGCAAACACGAAAGUGGACGUAUACGGUGUGACGCCUGCCCGGUGCCGGAAGGUUAAUUGAUGGGGUCAGCGCAAGCGAAGCUCCUGAUCGAAGCCCCGGUAAACGGCGGCCGUAACUAUAACGGUCCUAAGGUAGCGAAAUUCCUUGUCGGGUAAGUUCCGACCUGCACGAAUGGCGUAAUGAUGGCCAGGCUGUCUCCACCCGAGACUCAGUGAAAUUGAACUCGCUGUGAAGAUGCAGUGUACCCGCGGCAAGACGGAAAGACCCCGUGAACCUUUACUAUAGCUUGACACUGAACAUUGAGCCUUGAUGUGUAGGAUAGGUGGGAGGCUUUGAAGUGUGGACGCCAGUCUGCAUGGAGCCGACCUUGAAAUACCACCCUUUAAUGUUUGAUGUUCUAACGUGGACCCGUUACCCGGGUUGCGGACAGUGUCUGGUGGGUAGUUUGACUGGGGCGGUCUCCUCCUAAAGAGUAACGGAGGAGCACGAAGGUUGGCUAAUCCUGGUCGGACAUCAGGAGGUUAGUGCAAUGGCAUAAGCCAGCUUGACUGCGAGCGUGACGGCGCGAGCAGGUGCGAAAGCAGGUCAUAGUGAUCCGGUGGUUCUGAAUGGAAGGGCCAUCGCUCAACGGAUAAAAGGUACUCCGGGGAUAACAGGCUGAUACCGCCCAAGAGUUCAUAUCGACGGCGGUGUUUGGCACCUCGAUGUCGGCUCAUCACAUCCUGGGGCUGAAGUAGGUCCCAAGGGUAUGGCUGUUCGCCAUUUAAAGUGGUACGCGAGCUGGGUUUAGAACGUCGUGAGACAGUUCGGUCCCUAUCUGCCGUGGGCGCUGGAGAACUGAGGGGGGCUGCUCCUAGUACGAGAGGACCGGAGUGGACGCAUCACUGGUGUUCGGGUUGUCAUGCCAAUGGCACUGCCCGGUAGCUAAAUGCGGAAGAGAUAAGUGCUGAAAGCAUCUAAGCACGAAACUUGCCCCGA
rnacentral:rRNA from 1 species